GCGGCAGGCUUACACAUGCAAGUCGACGGUAACAGGAGCACUUGCUGCUUCGCUGAGGAGUGGCGGACGGGUGAGUAUGUCUGGGAACUGCCUGAUGGAGGGGGAUACUACUGGAAACGGUAGCUAAUACCGCAUAACGUCGCAAGACCAAAGAGGGGGACCUUCGGCCUCUUGCCAUCGGAUGUGCCCAGAUGGGAUUAGCUAGUAGGUGGGGUAACGGCUCACCUAGGCGACGAUCCCUAGCUGGUCUGAGAGGAUGACCAGCCACACUGGAACUGAGACACGGUCCAGACUCCUACGGGAGGCAGCAGUGGGGAAUAUUGCACAAUGGGCGCAAGCCUGAUGCAGCCAUGCCGCGUGUAUGAAGAAGGCCUUCGGGUUGUAAAGUACUUUCAGCGGGGAGGAAGGCGAUAAGGUUAAUAACCUUGUCGAUUGACGUUACCCGCAGAAGAAGCACCGG
rnacentral:rRNA from 1 species